rnacentral:lncRNA from 1 species
AUUACCAUGUUUAGAAGAUUUUGUAAUGUUGCAAUUAUUUGAUUGGGUUAGCUGCCUUUGUAUAUUAACACAUUAGGGAAAGCUUAUUUUGCUCUAAUGAUGCAAAAUGAAUGCUGCACAAAACUGAUGCUCACCUGUCUCCAAUAGAUAUCUUCCUUUUCUAAUCUUUUGCUUGUCCAUUUAUUUUCUUCAUCUUCAACUUUUCAAAUGGCAUCAUUACGGAAAAAAUGAGAUAACAUGGUGACUAACAGAAGCAGACAUCUAGUAUGUAUCAACUUGUUCUUAUAUCUACGUCUAUGUAUGCAUCUCAUUUAUAUAUGUUCACCUAAAAUAUGUUAUAACAAAAAAAUAUAUAUUUGCAGAAAGAAAAGAAGGAUCUUCCGCCAGCAUAACC